rnacentral:rRNA from 1 species
CGUAGGGCGCAAGCGUUGUCCGGAAUUAUUGGGCGUAAAGAGCUCGUAGGCGGCUUGUCACGUCGGGUGUGAAAGCCCGGGGCUUAACCCCGGGUCUGCAUUCGAUACGGGCUAGCUAGAGUGUGGUAGGGGAGAUCGGAAUUCCUGGUGUAGCGGUGAAAUGCGCAGAUAUCAGGAGGAACACCGGUGGCGAAGGCGGAUCUCUGGGCCAUUACUGACGCUGAGGAGCGAAAGCGUGGGGAGCGAACAGGAUUAGAUACCCUGGUAGUCCACGCCGUAAACGGUGGAACUAGGUGUUGGCGACGUUCCACGUCGUCGGUGCCGCAGCUAACGCAUUAAGUUCCCGCCUGGGGAGUACGGCCGCAAGGCUA